rnacentral:rRNA from 1 species
ACUUCAGGACGGGGACAACAGUUGGAAACGACUGCUAAUACCCGAUGUGCCGCGAGGUGAAACCUAAUUGGCCUGAAGAAGAGCUUGCGUCUGAUUAGCUAGUUGGUGGGGUAAGAGCCUACCAAGGCGACGAUCAGUAGCUGGUCUGAGAGGAUGAGCAGCCACACUGGGACUGAGACACGGCCCAGACUCCUACGGGAGGCAGCAGUGGGGAAUUUUCCGCAAUGGGCGAAAGCCUGACGGAGCAACGCCGCGUGAGGGAGGAAGGUCUUUGGAUUGUAAACCUCUUUUCUCAAGGAAGAAGUUCUGACGGUACUUGAGGAAUCAGCCUCGGCUAACUCCGUGCCAGCAGCCGCGGUAAUACGGGGGAGGCAAGCGUUAUCCGGAAUUAUUGGGCGUAAAGCGUCCGCAGGUGGUCAGCCAAGUCUGCUGUCAAAUCAGGUUGCUUAACGACCUA